UGGAAGCUUGCUUCCGAUAGGCGUCGACCGGCGCACGGGUGAGUAGCGCGUAUCCAACCUGCCCACCACUUGGGGAUAACCCUGCGAAAGUAAGACUAAUACCCAAUGAUAUCUCUAGAAGACAUCUGAAAGGGAUUAAAGAUUUAUCGGUGAUGGAUGGGGAUGCGUCUGAUUAGCUUGUUGGCGGGGUAACGGCCCACCAAGGCGACGAUCAGCAGGGGUUCUGAGAGGAAGGUCCCCCACAUUGGAACUGAGACACGGUCCAAACUCCUACGGGAGGCAGCAGUGAGGAAUAUUGGUCAAUGGGCGAGAGCCUGAACCAGCCAAGUAGCGUGCAGGAUGACGGCCCUAUGGGUUGUAAACUGCUUUUAUAAGGGAAUAAAGUGAGCCUCGUGAGGCUCUUUGCAUGUACCUUAUGAAUAAGGACCGGCUAAUUCCGUGCCAGCAGCCGCGGUAAUACGGAAGGUCCGGGCGUUAUCCGGAUUCAUUGGGUUUAAAGGGAGCGUAGGCCGGAGAUUAAGCGUGUUGUGAAAUGUAGACGCUCAACGUCUGCACUGCAGCGCGAACUGGUUUCCUUGAGUACGCACAAAGUAGGCGGAAUUCGUGGUGUAGCGGUGAAAUGCUUAGAUAUCACGAAGAACUCCGAUUGCGAAGGCAGCUCACUGGAGCGCAACUGACGCUGAAGCUCGAAAGUGCGGGUAUCGAACAGGAUUAGAUACCCUGGUAGUCCGCACGGUAAACGAUGGAUGCCCGCUGUUGGUCUGAAUAGGUCAGCGGCCAAGCGAAAGCAUUAAGCAUCCCACCUGGGGAGUACGCCGGCAACGGUGCAACUCAAAUGAAUUGACGGA
rnacentral:rRNA from 1 species